GGGCGGGGUGUCUUUACUGCAGUAGAACGCUGAAGAGAGGAGCUUGCUCUUCUUGGAUGAGUUGCGAACGGGUGAGUAACGCGUAGGUAACCUGCCUUGUAGCGGGGGAUAACUAUUGGAAACGAUAGCUAAUACCGCAUAACAAUGGAUGACACAUGUCAUUUAUUUGAAAGGGGCAAUUGCUCCACUACAAGAUGGACCUGCGUUGUAUUAGCUAGUAGGUGAGGUAACGGCUCACCUAGGCGACGAUACAUAGCCGACCUGAGAGGGUGAUCGGCCACACUGGGACUGAGACACGGCCCAGACUCCUACGGGAGGCAGCAGUAGGGAAUCUUCGGCAAUGGGGGCAACCCUGACCGAGCAACGCCGCGUGAGUGAAGAAGGUUUUCGGAUCGUAAAGCUCUGUUGUAAGUCAAGAACGAGUGUGAGAGUGGAAAGUUCACACUGUGACGGUAGCUUACCAGAAAGGGACGGCUAACUACGUGCCAGCAGCCGCGGUAAUACGUAGGUCCCGAGCGUUGUCCGGAUUUAUUGGGCGUAAAGCGAGCGCAGGCGGUUUGAUAAGUCUGAAGUUAAAGGCUGUGGCUCAACCAUAGUUCGCUUUGGAAACUGUCAAACUUGAGUGCAGAAGGGGAGAGUGGAAUUCCAUGUGUAGCGGUGAAAUGCGUAGAUAUAUGGAGGAACACCGGUGGCGAAAGCGGCUCUCUGGUCUGUAACUGACGCUGAGGCUCGAAAGCGUGGGGAGCGAACAGGAUUAGAUACCCUGGUAGUCCACGCCGUAAACGAUGAGUGCUAGGUGUUGGAUCCUUUUCGGGAUUCAGUGCCGCAGCUAACGCAUUAAGCACUCCGCCUGGGGAGUACGACCGCAAGGUUGAAACUCAAAGGAAUUGACGGGGGCCCGCACAAGCGGUGGAGCAUGUGGUUUAAUUCGAAGCAACGCGAAGAACCUUACCAGGUCUUGACAUCCCGAUGCUAUUUCUAGAGAUAGAAAGUUACUUCGGUACAUCGGUGACAGGUGGUGCAUGGUUGUCGUCAGCUCGUGUCGUGAGAUGUUGGGUUAAGUCCCGCAACGAGCGCAACCCCUAUUGUUAGUUGCCAUCAUUCAGUUGGGCACUCUAGCGAGACUGCCGGUAAUAAACCGGAGGAAGGUGGGGAUGACGUCAAAUCAUCAUGCCCCUUAUGACCUGGGCUACACACGUGCUACAAUGGUUGGUACAACGAGUUGCGAGUCGGUGACGGCAAGCUAAUCUCUUAAAGCCAAUCUCAGUUCGGAUUGUAGGCUGCAACUCGCCUACAUGAAGUCGGAAUCGCUAGUAAUCGCGGAUCAGCACGCCGCGGUGAAUACGUUCCCGGGCCUUGUACACACCGCCCGUCACACCACGAGAGUUUGUAACACCCGAAGUCGGUGAGGUAACCUUUGGAGCCAGCCGCCUAAGGUCAAGAUGUU
rnacentral:rRNA from 1 species